CAACCGUUACUGAAGAUUCCAGGACGAGGUUUUGUAUGUUUUCUUCGGAAGAUGAGCUACUAAAAUGUACGCAUUCACUUGGGCGUGCGGUUUAAUCAAAAGAAAGCCACGGAGACGUUUUGCGUGAAGCUCCCCGAAUUCGUUUUGUGAGUCUAUGGGAGCUGCCUUAGGACAACCAAAAUUCACCGCCGGACACUGCAUGCUGCCAUCGUCAGAAAAGCACAUGCAGUGCGUUCACGCAAGCUAAAAACAACGAAAAACUCCGAAUCAAGAUUCGGUCCAAAAACACAGUCGAGACGUCCGGCCAGCCUAAUAAUAAUACGCCUGUCACCAUUCUCCGACUCAGAGUCUGUUGCUUGAAUACGUGCAGCGCGCACAUAGACGGCCUGCACUCACCAAAGGGACCGUAGCCGGGAAAAAAACUCGCGUUGAGCGUCAACUGCUUCUGCAGUCAGGGGGUGGUGUGAGCAGUCGAUGCAGAAAAGGGAAAGGAAAAACAAACAAGUCAAACAAAAAAAAAUAAAGAGCUAACAGCAACGCCGAUUUCGGACGGCCUCUUUGCUUGAAUAGAAGUCGCAAUAAUGCGUGGUAGCUCUUAGGAAGGUCAUCACUAUCAUUGCUACCUUUCACGAUCAGCGACCUGGUGACACUCUACCGGCCUGGUUUGCUCUCUCAAAGCGCUGCAUACUUCAGAGAAGCACAUGAGAGAAAAUCACAUUCGAUUUAUCGGCACAAGAUACAAGAACCCUUCACAUCCUCAGCGCAGUCUCUCGGCAUUUUCUUCGGCGGAAUUUUUGCCAAAAAGAAGGAGUCUUCCGAGUGAAUACGGUGUACAUAUAUGCUUCUCCAAGUCGUCGCUUCUUACACUUGUCCCAAGACGAAGCUAAACUGGCGAUCUGUAAAGUAGGAGCAAGCAUGUCAUCGUAUCAGUUUCACUACACUUUACAUUGAACCAUGGAAGUCUUCAUCUGAACACCAAAAAAUCGGGACUUCAAAACAGUCGAUGAAACCCUGCCUGAAUGACCAAAAGAAACAGAAAACCAGUGAAACAAUAAGCAUACGAUACACUGAUCUUCGUCGCACUCCAUCUUCGUAGCCCCGCAAAUGAUUCUUUUUGGUUUAGCACGACUAGCGAACUUUCAUGUCGAAUGACCGCAUUACGCGAAUUCAUCUGUCAAAACCCACUACCCGGAGCUGUACGAUUGUGAUAUCGCAGAGCGGCCGAAGCAAGGUUAGGCAGGUAUAAAAAAAAAACUAAAAGUCGAGUGUCCUAUAGCUUCAACAGAAGAAACUCUUUGCCACCACUCGCCCCCCUUUUCCACCCUCAAAGCUUUGGGAUGCCAAUGUUAUCGGCUUGUGUGUCACUGCCUGCAUAAAAGCGAUGCUUCUGCUUAUCGAGCAUACUUGUUACUACAAUCCACAGCGAAAACGCUGCAGAUGACACACACAAGAGGAGAAAAAAGGGAUAACAGUGUCCUGGAAAAGCAAAAAAAGGUAAUAUAUAGAAGGGAGUAAAUGGCUUACUUGACAGUGGGCAAAGCUCAUUCAACAAGGAAAAGACUAAAGGCUGCAUUGAUGCAGCAUUUUAACAAAAAGUGCUUUGCUCUGCGGUAAGGGCACCUCGUGUUCUCUAGUCUUUGAGACGGAAACAGAUACGAAGUUCUGAGGAUUUCUCGAAGUAUGAAACAAAGCGCAGAUGUAGAGAUAUACCAAGCAGCGGAGGAGGGGCUAUUUCGCCGAUAAGAUAAUGCACUGCAAGAACGCCAUGGAUGCUCUGCACAGCUUGUUACUGUCUCCUCAGUAAAGAAACGCAAAUCGACAUGUACCCGAGAAAUGCGAAAGGAGAGAUGGAUAGCAAGAGGCAAGAGAGAGAAAGCUUGGUUCAACAAGUGACCGAGAAAACAUUAAAGCCAGGUGAUUCUUGGCGCCGUAGAAUAUUCUGAUUCCUCCGCGUCUUGAAGAGCCUGUGCCCACUUUCGUUAUGCAGAAAAAAAAUGACAAGAUUAACCAGCGAUCCGUGUCACCGUCAAGACGCUGGAAAAGGUGCAAAAGACAGAAAGACGCAGGAGAACAGUCGGCAAAGAUGAAAAGGCCAAACCAGAAGGUGGAACAAGGCUUUCUUAUCGGCAGCGAGUUGCUGCAUUCGAGCCACUGGAGACAAACAUAUCAUGAUUCAAGCCUGGCACUGAAACGCUAGAAGCAAACAAAGGUAGUGUGAUACGAGCUCUACUCUUUCAAUGCACUAAGCACAUCAUUGAAAGCUAGGUACAAGGAACAAAGAAAGUAGAACAGUACUCCUAAUACUUGGCAAAUUGAAUACAACGCAAAUAAGCAGUUCAUGCUUGCUUUCCCGUUGUAUGCCCAAUACACGACGGUGAACUCUGGGUCGACAAUGAGCAAGAAUAAAUGUUCUUUUCAUCAGACCUUGAACAAACAGGUAAACGAAAGUCUCAUUACAGCGGCAAAGCAGUCCGCAUUUUUAGAGGUGGGCAGAAUGCUUCAAGGCAGCCAAAACGAAAAAAAAUUAUAAAGAUGCAAAAGACAGAAUCCAGCAAAACAUAGAGUGUACGAACAACAGUUGAUUAAGGUAUUUCAGCCAGGCACUUCACUGGGACGCGCGGCGCGCGGGAGCAGGCACUCUUUCGUGUGCCUUACACGCUGCACUCUUCUUUCGCCACACCAGCAAGGGUCCAGACGAAAUCGCCCUUGCAACAGCUAUAGUUUGUCAGCAGAGCACAUCUGCAGAUAGAGAACCUUGCUUGGCUUUUAGCGAACGAUAAAUGGAGUACAAGAUGUCAAAAAAAAAGAAAAAUAGGGUAAUCAGCUUAAAGCACCAAAGCUGCUUCAAAAAGGGAGAAAUGAUAGCAGUACCCGGAGAGCAUCACUUCUCAGUGCGGCCCACCGAAUGGUUUCAAGCACCUGCUAGUCACUGACUGCGGGAAGUAGCGCUUAGCAUGCCGCUCAACAAUUUUCGAUGUCGUUGAGAAGUGAGAUUCAAUUUAACUAACAUCCGGCCCUCCAUCAGUUCCUUGCCGUGCAGCGUCAACACCACUGAUUCAUCUCGCCCUACCCUCGGUUUGCGAAAAGAAACAACAAGAACACAGAAUGGCCUUCGACAAGUCAGAUACCUUGGGCUUUCCGGGAGUCGCUCGAUACAAAACAAUUUUCCAGGGACAAAAGAACCUCGAGUUGAAAAAAAAAGAGCAGUAGUGUCUUAACACCAUUCACGGCAUCCACUCUUGAUGACCGUCGAUUUCCAAAAACUGAUGUAGUGGAACUCCCGCUCUGCAUGAUUGAAACAUGGACGUGGUUCACACAAAAACUCCACACUCAAACACCGAGCAGCCCGCUCGCUUGCCCUUCAUGGCGUGCCAAGAGUGUAAGUUAUCUGUUUACGAUAUAGACUAGGGACGCCAGAGGAUAAGAGAAGGGGGGGGGUGCGAAGAAGCACUGAGCGACUCUCUUUCACGCAGACAGAGUAUUACACGUUGUGCUGAAGGUUGAGAAAGGGGGGGGGGCACUGAUUCCCUCUCCAAGUUUGGUGCACCUGUAGAGACACGCUGACCGGAAACUGUGGUAAACGGCUGUUCAGAGGUGAAAACGCAAACCUCUACAGGGUUUUCUUGACGCUGAAUUGUAAUUGUUUUGCGAACUUUUCUUUUUGCACCAAAGGGAAAGGCUCAGAAAAACACGUAGUGAUUCUGAAGUUGUGUCCCAGUCCUGGUCUUGUUUUCUGCGAAAAGCAUACUGGUGACUGGGCAGUUUUUUUUUCUGUGAUCAAAAAAAAACAUACGGUGCUUUCUUCCUCUUGCAGCGGGAAGCAAAAAGUAAAUUUUGAGAGCAGGCAUUCACAAAACUUCACUAAAAGCUUAGUUGAAGAAUAUACUAACCAUCACUACGUCUAUGCAACUGUCGGCCGCACUGCGUAUCGCGAGUGAGUGGAUGAUAGUAAAAUGAGCAUCUCUCUUUUUCAAAUGUUCUCUAGCAAUUUUGAAAGCUCCACCGAGAGAUCUCCUGCCAACACUUUGCAAACCCUAUACUCUUUUGGCUCCCUCAGGGAAACGGGGUUGACGGAUGGGUGCUAGCAUAUAGCAGCUCAUUGUGUUAAGUGUUGCAUUCUGCACAAGCGCACCGCAAUUGCUGGCAAGCCUGCUUUUGUUUUCACUGGCUCCUUCGCCCUGGAUGCUUAACGAAUGACAUGAGCACGCGAGGUAGGGUGGUGCGUUCCACUUACGGCAAGACCCCCUUGCUCUGUGUUCUUCUGCGGGGACAUUUAACGGAAGCCCAAAUCCAAUCUGUCUCUUCAUGUUAGAACUCUGUACAGUUUUUUUUUUUUUUCACUACUGGCUAAGAAAGUAGAGAGCGAGACCGACAGCGUUGCGCCUGCAGGGUUUAUUGUAUGAGUGUCAGCUGAAUAAUGAGCUUGCACCUCGGCGCUGCUUAUCGGAAAGCGCGAAACCACAGUCAUCUGAGGCUUAGAGAGAUCGUUCUAGCAUCGAGAUGGCGAAAUGACGAAGUGUCCAGGAGAGCAAAGGCGACCUAUCACAGUUGUGAACUCAGCGGAAAGUCAAGCUCAUCUAUGAUGCUCCAUUUUGAUUUUGUUUUCUUCAAGAAAGGAGGACAAUCCUAACUUCUCCGUUCACCUUUUCCCCCCUUUCGUGUUUUUUUUUUGCGUUGAAUGGGAGCACAUAAAGCGGUUCGAAAAAGACCUUGAGAACGAAGCUCGAGCCAGCUGCACUGGAGACUAAGUGUGCACAGAUCUUGGUUGAGUUAAUACUCAGACUCCAAUGAUUUAUUGUCUCCAUUACUCAUGAGUUUUGCUGUGGUGGAAGCCUCCCAUGAAUGGGAGAAAAUCGCCCAUUUUAGUUUGAGUCGGUAACUAGCAAAGCGACUGGUUCAGACACGGUGCCCCUUUCUCUAUUUCAGCGCUACAGGAUAAGCGGUUGGCGCAAAUGGUCACCAUUGUCAAACUCAUUUGUAGACACGAGUAAUGUUUUUCCUAUUUCUCGGCAGCAUAAUGUGCUUGACCGUCUUUUGCGUGAUGUAAAGAAUUCCGUGGCGGCUCAUUGUGGGCGCAAAAAAAAAAGUAACGGCUUGCAGCAAAUGUGAAAAAUACACUUGUAUCUACACUCUAAGCGUUUGGACUGCGACCUGUUUCUGUGCUUUCAGUUUUUUUUUCUUGUCAGGUGAAUAAUAAUCGCAUUUCUCGGUUCAUUUUCAAGGCUUUUCGUGUUCCGAAAAAGGGGAUGCAGUGAGCUUUAUUCACCGACAGUGGAGACGUUGAAGGAUAUGUGAAACUUGUUUUUCAGUUGUACACAGCUGAACUGCUGGUUGAGGACAUGCAAACAUUUUUGUUUACGCAUAUUUUCCUUUUCUUUUCCACUGACGGCGUGCGUGUGCUCGCGACUCUAGAAGCACGACGAACCACGCUUUUUUUUCGCGCUUUUAAUAUAUGAGUCUUAACAACCAACGAAAACGCGAGACGCACAAGCGUUCAGGUCACCUGCCUUUUCGACUUCGAAUCUGUUUCUCAGUUCCUGAUCACACGUUAAUGGCCUACUUCUCCACGUCAGCGCAGAGACCUGUGCGACUGGUAGAGAACAAAGCAGUUUUUUUUUUGCUUCUUUUGCUUACGAAAUUGAUUAUACACUGGGGCUUCUCCUGGAGGAAUUUUUGAAACUAUCGCGCUGUUGCAUUUUAUAAAAAAUAUUGCUUCGUGUGUGAAAGGGGCAGCAAAAAGCUACAUUUACCCUUUUUCGAGUGGUUUCAAGUCACUUUCAUAAUAGGACAUUCUGAAUUUCGUUACAGCAUGGGAGUGUGAGGAUGUGUCGGUGGUUUAAUGUCGGGGACGAGGCCGGGUGUAACCUUUGCUUCUAAAUGCCGGAUCUCUGCGCCAACUAAUCGAAGAAGGCACGGGCUUCUUGAGAACCCAGUUGGCGUCUCCAUCUAAAUAUGGCCAUUCAAUGAAAAAGCCAAAAAAGACCUUUCCAUCCUUUAUAUAGUGUCUCAGCUUGCAUACAAAUGGGGCUGUGUGCUGAGUUUACGGAUUACAUAAGUUCUGAUAGUAUUUCAUGCGAUGCUCUUGCUUUCAAUGUUUACAUGUUCCAGCGACGCUGAAAACAAUCUUUUCCCCAGUCUGAGGGGUCUCUCUUACAAUUUUAUGGUUGGCUGACUCAUCUUACAGCUUCUUUUUCUUUGUACCCUUUUUGUCGGGAAAAAAUGAUAAAUUUCGGCUGCAGCAUCUCAGCGCAGUCUCGGUUUUUGUACUACACAGGGGCAGUAGGUGGCAUCUCUGCAGUACUCCACGUUGCGCAUGCUUACGAAAGAUAGUCUUUGACCCUAUAAACACAUUUUCUUUUGCUUCCAGCGCCCGACUAUUGGCUACUGCAUUGUUCACAUGUGAUGCUCGUGCCAUUUCUACCGAGUUUUAUGUUUUAAUUGUCGAGGCGGAGGCACCGACGAGUACAUGUAUGUAUAUAUAUAUAUAUAUACUGUCGCGUUCUAGAGAAAUAAGCAAGCGAAAAUGUCAUUGUAUAACCUUCAUGGCUUUUAAUCCCUGCGCUCCGCGUAUGUUAUCACAAGGAUUGCAAAGCCCCCUUUUUCGACUGUGAGCUGAUCCGCCAAAAAAAAAUUCAAG
rnacentral:misc_RNA from 1 species